GACGAACGCUGGCGGCGUGCCUAAUACAUGCAAGUCGAGCGGACGAAUCGAAAGCUUGCUUUUGAUUCGUUAGCGGCGGACGGGUGAGUAACACGUGGGCAACCUGCCCUGUAGACGGGGAUAACACCGAGAAAUCGGUGCUAAUACCGGAUAACACGAAAUGUCGCAUGACGUUUCGUUGAAAGACGGCGCAAGCUGCCGCUACAGGAUGGGCCCGCGGCGCAUUAGCUAGUUGGUGAGGUAACGGCUCACCAAGGCGACGAUACGUAGCCGACCUGAGAGGGUGAUCGGCCACACUGGGACUGAGACACGGCCCAGACUCCUACGGGAGGCAGCAGUAGGGAAUCUUCCGCAAAGGACGAAAGUCUGACGGAGCAACGCCGCGUGAGCGAAGAAGGCCUUCGGGUCGUAAAGCUCUGUUGUUAGGGAGGAACAAGUAACGCAGUAACUGGCGUUACCGUGACGGUACCUAACGAGAAAGCCACGGCUAACUACGUG
rnacentral:rRNA from 1 species